UACGAAGGGGGCUAGCGUUGCUCGGAAUCACUGGGCGUAAAGGGUGCGUAGGCGGGUCUUAAGUCAGGGGUGAAAUCCUGGAGCUCAACUUCGGAACUGCCUCUGAUACAGCACGUCUUGAGUCCGAUAGAGGUGGGUGGAAUUCCUAGUGUAGAGGUGAAAUUCGUAGAUAUUAGGAAGAACACCGGUGGCGAAGGCGGCCCACUGGAUCGGUACUGACGCUGAGGUGCGAAAGCGUGGGGAGCAAACAGG
rnacentral:rRNA from 1 species